rnacentral:lncRNA from 1 species
AUGCAGGACUCAGUGAAGAAUGAUAUUAUCGGACCUUUGCACGUAACGCAGGGCAUCAAGUUGCUGACGGCUGAGUUUUGGUGGCGUGCGUAUCCCGGAGUGCAGACGUACUAUGAAAGACUAUAUUCCCUGCAGAGGGAUCUGGCGUGCGCGCUGCGCGCAUCGUCCGCCUGUGUCUCCGCAGCUGCUCCUGCCGCUGUUUCAUCGCCUCACGUUCCCGUUCCUGUCCCCGUUUCAUCGGCUCCAGUCCAAGCCCCAGAUGCUGCCAUCUCUGCCCGCCCCGCGGACCCAGUCAGGGAAACCCAGCCCGCGCCGCUCCCAGCGCCUCAGCUGACAGACAGUCGCAAGCGCCCCGGACGACGUCGGCGAGGGCACGGUUCCAGGGUCCUAGUUCCAGAGAUCGCGGUCACGGCCCCCGAACGACUCCCCUCCCAGGCGGAGGGUCUCUCCGGUCCGCUGGCUGACUCUGCCACACCGAUAGCUGGAAUCCCGGACAGCACCGUCCAGCGCAUCCGUCUCCACUGUUCUCCUCCGGUGUUAUUCCUUUUCACUCACUUCAUGAACACCAUCGAAGCGACAUCAGACCAGAACACCAGGAAACAGUUGUUUGGGGAGGCAGCAGCGCUAAUCCUGAGGGAACCUGCCCUGCGUGAGGCCCUGCAACUCCCAGGCCUGCAGCCAGCAGCCACACCAGGUCCUACUUCUCAGUCAGGUCAGUCAAGCCACGCUCAGUCUCCAGUCCCAGUUCAGUCGUGUUCUGCUCAGGCUCCAGCCCUAGUUCAGCCGUGCUCUGUUCAGUCUCCAGUCCCAGUUCAGUCAUGCUCCGUUCAGGUUCCAGCUCAGCCUUGUCACGCUCAGAGUCCAGUUCAGUCCUGCCACGCUCAGAGUCUGGUUCAGUCCUGCCACGCUCAGAGUCUGGUUCAGUCCUGCCACGCUCAGAGUCCGGUUCAGUCCUGCCACGUUCAGGGUCCGGUUCAGUCGAGUCACGUUCAGGCCUUGUCCCAGCCAGAGGGCACCACCUGUUAA